AUACAGAGGGUGCAAGCGUUAAUCGGAAUUACUGGGCGUAAAGUGCGCGUAGGCGGUUUGUUAAGUUGGAUGUGAAAGCCCCGGGCUUAACCUGGGAGGGUCAUUCAAAACUGGCAGACUAGAGUGUGGUAGAGGGUAGUGGAAUUCCUAGUGUAGCGGUGAAAUGCGUAGAGAUUAGGAGGAACACCAGUGGCGAAGGCGACUGCCUGGACCAACACUGACGCUGAGGUGCGAAAGCGUGGGUAGCGAACAGGAUUAGAAACCCGAGUAGUCC
rnacentral:rRNA from 1 species